AGAGUUUGAUCCUGGCUCAGGAUGAACGCUGGCGGCGUGCCUAAUACAUGCAAGUCGAGCGAACGGACGAGAAGCUUGCUUCUCUGAUGUUAGCGGCGGACGGGUGAGUAACACGUGGAUAACCUACCUAUAAGACUGGGAUAACUUCGGGAAACCGGAGCUAAUACCGGAUAAUAUUUUGAACCGCAUGGUUCAAAAGUGAAAGACGGUCUUGCUGUCACUUAUAGAUGGAUCCGCGCUGCAUUAGCUAGUUGGUAAGGUAACGGCUUACCAAGGCAACGAUGCAUAGCCGACCUGAGAGGGUGAUCGGCCACACUGGAACUGAGACACGGUCCAGACUCCUACGGGAGGUAGCAGUAGGGAAUCUUCCGCAAUGGGCGAAAGCCUGACGGAGCAACGCCGCGUGAGUGAUGAAGGUCUUCGGAUCGUAAAACUCUGUUAUUAGGGAAGAACAUAUGUGUAAGUAACUGUGCACAUCUUGACGGUACCUAAUCAGAAAGCCACGGCUAACUACGUGCCAGCAGCCGCGGUAAUACGUAGGUGGCAAGCGUUAUCCGGAAUUAUUGGGCGUAAAGCGCGCGUAGGCGGUUUUUUAAGUCUGAUGUGAAAGCCCACGGCUCAACCGUGGAGGGUCAUUGGAAACUGGAAAACUUGAGUGCAGAAGAGGAAAGUGGAAUUCCAUGUGUAGCGGUGAAAUGCGCAGAGAUAUGGAGGAACACCAGUGGCGAAGGCGACUUUCUGGUCUGUAACUGACGCUGAUGUGCGAAAGCGUGGGGAUCAAACAGGAUUAGAUACCCUGGUAGUCCACGCCGUAAACGAUGAGUGCUAAGUGUUAGGGGGUUUCCGCCCCUUAGUGCUGCAGCUAACGCAUUAAGCACUCCGCCUGGGGAGUACGACCGCAAGGUUGAAACUCAAAGGAAUUGACGGGGACCCGCACAAGCGGUGGAGCAUGUGGUUUAAUUCGAAGCAACGCGAAGAACCUUACCAAAUCUUGACAUCCUUUGACAACUCUAGAGAUAGAGCCUUCCCCUUCGGGGGACAAAGUGACAGGUGGUGCAUGGUUGUCGUCAGCUCGUGUCGUGAGAUGUUGGGUUAAGUCCCGCAACGAGCGCAACCCUUAAGCUUAGUUGCCAUCAUUAAGUUGGGCACUCUAAGUUGACUGCCGGUGACAAACCGGAGGAAGGUGGGGAUGACGUCAAAUCAUCAUGCCCCUUAUGAUUUGGGCUACACACGUGCUACAAUGGACAAUACAAAGGGCAGCGAAACCGCGAGGUCAAGCAAAUCCCAUAAAGUUGUUCUCAGUUCGGAUUGUAGUCUGCAACUCGACUACAUGAAGCUGGAAUCGCUAGUAAUCGUAGAUCAGCAUGCUACGGUGAAUACGUUCCCGGGUCUUGUACACACCGCCCGUCACACCACGAGAGUUUGUAACACCCGAAGCCGGUGGAGUAACCUUUUAGGAGCUAGCCGUCGAAGGUGGGACAAAUGAUUGGGGUGAAGUCGUAACAAGGUAGCCGUAUCGGAAGGUGCGGCUGGAUCACCU
rnacentral:rRNA from 1 species